GUUCACAUCAGCGUGGAGAUGGGUCUAACCAUCAUAAUUAUGGGAACAGACGGGAUCAGGACUGGAAUACUCAACGGAAUUUCAAUGGUAGAGACCCCCAUAUGCCACCACGAGUUGGUCCUAGAUUUCCAAGACCUCCACCUCCACCUCCACCUCAUAAUGCUGCUCAAUUUAUUCACACAGCACCAGUUAGGGCAUUUGGUGGUCCUAUUGGUUUCCAUGGUAAGUACGCUGUAUUAGAGAUUAUUUCUUUCAGGAUAUGCAUAUUCUGUGACGACUGUAUUCGUUUUCAGAUGUAGUUCCUCCAAUAGUAUAUCUCCAACAACCACCUUCACAUCCAAAUUUACUAAGAGGGGUUCAUUAUGGUCCUCCAAUGCCUCCUCAGACAUUGUUCUACACAGGUCCAGACCCUCAGUUGCAUACUAGGAUAGUCACUCAGAUUAAUUACUAUUUUAGGUACUGCUUUCAAUGUGGUCUGUUAGUAAAUUCUUCUUUCUUUAACCGGUUUUUUUUAUUAAUAAUAAUCUUAUCGUAUAUUUUUCAAGUAAGUUAAUUUUUUUGAGAGUAAUAAUAAAAGAAAACCCCCAAAACACAAAACAGCCGCAAUAGUUAUGGGAACUGGGCGUAUUUUCUUGACGUGAAUAACUAAAGAAAAGUCCAAAUAGAAAGGAAACAGGAACAAACGCAGGGGCAUUUACGUAAACUCAUGUGUGACACUCUCACACAGAGGAACAAAACCUGGCACCCGAAGCGUUCUACGAAACUUUCUUCGAAACGCAUUUUCUUCUCUCUUUCAACAUAACACAACAAACCAAAAGCUCCUCUCUUCACUGCGAUCAGAUCGCUCAAAAUUUUGGAACCCUAAAUUUGCUGCAUUUUGGUUUCUCAAUUUUGUCGAAACCCUAGAAGCCACUUUGCGUGCAAAUCAAUAAUCUCCGUCUUCCUUUUGCUUUGAUCAUCAAUCUCCUUCCAGUAGCAAACGCUGUGAGAUUAGAGGUUAAUAUUAACCCUAAACACCACACCAUGGCCAUGGCUGGUAACCACUCAGCUGUCUCACCGUGGAAUCAGGUUGUCCGCGGUGGCGAGUCCGAGUCUGUACUGGCAGCUCCAUCUUCUGCGAUGGAAUCGGCGGUGGCCGUUGAAUCUUCGCUCCCUUCUGGUUCCACCGCCGUGUCAACUUCUCUGUCGGUAGAAGAUUCCUGCUCCACCGCUGAGAGCUCCAAAAACGGUGGGAACAAGGGCCGAGCUGCGAAGAAGCCUGCCUGGAACAAGCCAUCAUCCAAUGGCGGAGCUUCGGAAGUUAAGCUGGUAAUGGACGCAGUCUCUUGGCCUGCACUGUCCGAGUCUACCAGGGUUGCUAUUAAAUCAGAAUCAUCAUCAAAGGGUUUGUUGGAUGGAUCAUCCUCUGUUCUUCAAUCGCAGGUUCGGUUGAGAUUUUGUUUAUUCCUAUCACUUAGUGAGUGUUGUUUAUUAAAAUUUUAAGUUAGCUGAGCUGAUGUUUUCUUGUGUUCUCUAUGGUUUUCUGAUUCGUGAUCUAGAAAAUGCAAGUUUUUAUUAGGUUUCAAUCGACCAAAUUGCAUGUAUCUGCUGUUAUGUUAUUGUGGCUUAGAAAAUGUAGGAAAAUUGGAUUUUGAUUUUGCCGUGUGUGAUCAUUUGCUUUAGUGGCACAUCUGUUGUUGUUGUAUAUUUGUUUUUCUGGUUUAUUUGUAUGCAAAUAGACAAUGCCAUUGUUUUAAGUGCAAAUAUAGGGUAUGGGAAGCUCUUCCUCUUCACAAAGACAAGUGAAUGAUAAUGCAAGUGCAAACCAUAUGGUGCCAUCUCCAAAUCGCCAGAAGCCAUUCAAACAUAACAGUCCAAAUGUGUUUUCUAAUGGUGGUCACCCACAGCCGCCUGCUUCCCAAGCUUUGACAGCAACAACUGGGUCCCAUUAUCAACCUCCAAUCGAACAUGCACAAAGAAGUGCAUUUGUGUCUAAUGAUCGUCCACAGCAGCGUAAUUCAUUUAGAAAUCGGAACAGUGGUUCACAUCAGCGUGGAGAUGGGUCUAACCAUCAUAAUUAUGGGAACAGACGGGAUCAGGACUGGAAUACUCAACGGAAUUUCAAUGGUAGAGACCCCCAUAUGCCACCACGAGUUGGUCCUAGAUUUCCAAGACCUCCACCUCCACCUCCACCUCAUAAUGCUGCUCAAUUUAUUCACACAGCACCAGUUAGGGCAUUUGGUGGUCCUAUUGGUUUCCAUGGUAAGUACGCUGUAUUAGAGAUUAUUUCUUUCAGGAUAUGCAUAUUCUGUGACGACUGUAUUCG
rnacentral:lncRNA from 1 species